GCAAAUACUCUGUACUCGUAUUAUCUCUCGUCGUUCCACUUGAAUCUUCAGCAGACCUCCAUUACUCUCUGCUCUCUCUAUCCAAAUUCGUUUCUCAGACUGUGAUUGUGAUUAUGAGGGGAAGAAGUUACAGCCCUUCACCCCCUAGAGGUGGCUACUCCAGAAGAGGACACAGCCCCCCUCCUAGGGGUCGCUAUUCUGGCCGCGGUAGAGAUCCUUCUACUAGUUUAUUAGUUCGGAAUCUCCGCCACGAUUGCAGACCAGAAGAUCUCCGCAGGCCUUUUGGUCAGUUUGGUCCGCUCAAGGACAUUUACUUGCCUAGGGAUUAUUACACCGGGUAAGUUCAUAGCUACUCUUUUCACAUAAUAAACCCAUUACAGCUCCUCAAUGAGUACCUUUAUGAUAAUGUUGGGGAGUGUUCUCAUAUGGAAUCUGUGUGCUU